rnacentral:lncRNA from 1 species
CAAUUGGUACUGUCCUUUUAAGACCACCUGCCAAUCAAAUUAAUCAAGUGGGAGGCGGUCAGUGUUAGCAAACAGAGAGUUUAGUACACCAAACAAGCUAGCACAAUUCCAGUGUGAUUAUACAUUACAAGGCCUAAGCGAGCACAACAUCUUUCCCUGAUGGACUUUCACAGAAGAUUUGGGUGUUUUGAAAGCAGGGUCUUCUCUGGUUGGUUGUGAAGAUUUAAGUAAACAAAGCUGUUACUGUGGCAUAACUGACCUUUGGACCUGAAAAGUGGCAGCAGAGUCUUACUGAAACAAGAAGCCUCCGGAACCAUCCAAAAUAUCCUAUAUACAGAGGGGAGUUCAAAUUACACCUUGAAUGCUGAUUUAUUAGAGUGAAAAGUUGCUGGAGAUGGUGUCAACAGAGACAAACACAGAAAGAGCAUUGUGGAGGACCGAAAUGGUGGAGCUCAAUGUGAGAUGAGGAAGAUGUUGUUGAUAUGGAUGCACACAGGAUCUACAGUGAGGAAUGGAGUCUGCUGGGAC